UACAGAGGGUGCAAGCGUUUGUUCGGAAUCAUUGGGCGUAAAGGGCGUGUAGGCGGUUUGUUAAGUCAUGUGUGAAAUCCCCCGGCUCAACCGAGGAACGACGCAUGAAACUGGCAAGCUAGAGUACCGAAGAGGGGGGUGGAAUUCCCGGUGUAGUGGUGAAAUGCGUAGAGAUCGGGAGGAACACCCGCGGCGAAGGCGGCGACCUGGACCGACCCUGACGCUGAGGCGCGAAGGCCGGGGGAGCGAACGGG
rnacentral:rRNA from 1 species